rnacentral:rRNA from 1 species
UACGGAGGGGACUAGCGUUGUUCGGAAUUACUGGGCGUAAAGCGCACGUAGGCGGAUUUGUAAGUCAGGGGUGAAAUCCCGGGGCUCAACCUCGGAACUGCCUUUGAUACUGCAAAUCUCGAGUCCGGAAGAGGUGAGUGGAAUUCCUAGUGUAGAGGUGAAAUUCGUAGAUAUUAGGAAGAACACCAGUGGCGAAGGCGGCUCACUGGUCCGGUACUGACGCUGAAGUGCGAAAGCGUGGGGAGCAACAGG